rnacentral:rRNA from 1 species
GAUGAACGCUGGCGGCGUGCUUAACACAUGCAAGUCGAACGGAAAGGCCCUGCUUUUGUGGGGUGCUCGAGUGCGGAACGCGUGAGUAACACGUGAGUAACCUGCCCUUGUCUUUCGGAUAACUUCAGGAAACUGGGGCUAAUACCGGAUAGGAGAUCCUGCUGCAUGGUGGGGAUUGGAAAGUUGCGGCGGUUGGGGCUGGACGCGCGGCUUAUGAGCUUGUUGGUGGGGUAGGGGUUGGCCAAGGCUUUGACGGGUAGCCGGCCUGUGAGGGUGACCGGCCACAUUGGGACUGAGGUACGGCCCAGACUGCUACGGUAGGCAGCAGUGGGGAAUAUUGCACAAUGAGCGGAAGCGUGAUGCAGCAGCCCCGGGUGCGGGAUGACGGCCUUCGGGGUAAGAACCGCUUUCGCCUGUGACGAAGCGUGAGUGACGGUAAUGAGUAAAGAAGCACCGGCUAACUACGUG